AGUUCCUUAAAAAACUGGAUUGGACAGUCGGGUGUGUCGCCUAUCUUGAAUUUUUGCGUGGUUUGAAGAAUCCAUGCUCCAGAUGCUUUUAUCGCCUUUUCCUUGUGUUGCCACAUGUUGCUGCCCAACCUGACCGUUUUUCAGGCUGCAGAUGGAUGGCUGCCACCUCUGUGUUUAACGUCUGUGUGUUUCCUGGUAGGGCUGAUGUAACCAAGGAUACGCUCUCAAACACGGCGUACACAAACGGCAGAGCUUACAAUACGGAUGAAGCGAGAGUUCACACACCAAACCUGACUCCAUUGAUGAAAAAGACGAAUCAGAAGGAAACAUGGGAACGAUCUGACCGUAACUCUCGUCAAACAUCGAUUCUUUGCUGUUUCUAAAACGUUUAAACUUCUCAGAUGUCAUCGCUGCAGAGACGACGCAUCAGCGACAAUAAAAUUAUUAGAUUCGA